rnacentral:snRNA from 1 species
GUGCUUGCUUUGGCAGCACAUACGCUAAAACUGGAAUGAUACAGAGAAGACUAGCAUGGUCCCCGCACAAGGAUGACAUGCAAAUUUAUGAAGCAUUCCAUAUUUUU